rnacentral:misc_RNA from 1 species
GUACCUUCAAGCUCUGCUUGGUGUUGGGUGUUUGUCUCGCCUUUGCGUGUAGACUCGCCUCAAAACAAUUGGCAGCCGGCGUAUUGAUUUCGGAGCGCAGUACAUCUCGCGCUUUGCACUCAUGACGACGACGUCCAAAAGUACAUUUUUACAC